GACGAACGCUGGCGGCGUGCUUAACACAUGCAAGUCGAGCGGUAAGGCCCUUUCGGGGGUACACGAGCGGCGAACGGGUGAGUAACACGUGGGUGACCUGCCCUCAGCUCUGGGAUAAGCCUGGGAAACCGGGUCUAAUACUGGAUAUGACUCCAUGACGCAUGUUGUGGGGUGGAAAGCCUUGUGCGGCUGAGGAUGGGCCCGCGGCCUAUCAGCUUGUUGGUGGGGGUGAGGCCUACCAAGGCGACGAUCGGUAGCUGGUCUGAGAGGACGACCAGCCACACUGGGACUGAGACACGGCCCAGACUCCUACGGGAGGCAGCAGUGGGGAAUAUUGGACAAUGGGCGCAAGCCUGAUCCAGCGAUGCCGCGUGUGU
rnacentral:rRNA from 1 species